UUCAAAGAGGGCGACAAUCUAGAUGACAUCGUCAAUCGGCCCUCUUCUUCCAGUACCAUGCUCACUGAAUUUUUCAAGAUGAACCUGGUGGAUCCUUAUGCGAGGAACUUCUUGUACAAAGAGUUCCCCGAAUUCUACCGGUGGAUCAAAGGUACAAAGAAGUGGCAAAGAAGAAAAUUGAAGGGGCGGGGUCAGAUUGGAAGAAUUGUGUAUGCGCAUCCUGCUGAAGGUGAGAGGUACUUUCUUAGAGUGCUCAUGAAUCAUGUGAGAGGUGCAACAUCAUUUGAGGAUUUGAAAAGUGUAAAUGGCAGGCUGUGCUCGAAUUUCAGAGAAUCGUGUGAGUGAAGAGGUCUCAUAGAGACCGACAAGUCACUUGAUGACUGCUUGACCGAGGCAGCUACUUUCCAAAUGCCAUAUGCUCUAAGAAGGCUUUUUGCAACUAUUCUGGUGUUUUGCGAGGUGACCCAAAUCCGAUCAUUGUGGGAGAAGCACCUUCAGUCAAUGUCUGAGGACUACCGUCGUAACCAGUCCAACCAGGUCGCAUUAGAGCAGAUGGUCCUUAGAGACAUUAGGGAUCUGGUGCAUUCCAUGGAAAAAGAUAUUGGCAGUUAUGGCCUCCCAAAUUUGGAUCCGGUGGAUGAUGAGUGUUCCAAUGGAGAAUCGAGAGAGGUACAAGAGGAGUUGUCUGUUAGUUUUGACAAAGAAGACAUAAACAUGUUUACAUCUCUUAACAAAGAGCAGCGUGUUGGUUUUGAUGAAAUCCUCUCUUGUGUUGUCAACAAAAGGAGCCAGAUUUUCUUUGUUGAUGGUCCGGGUGGCACGGGGAAGACAUAUCUAUACAAAGCACUCCUUGCAAAGGUCCGUUCGUUGGGUCAAAUAGCUAUUGCUACAGCUACAUCUGGCAUUGCGGCAUCGAUCAUGCCUGGUGGGCGCACAUCCCAUUCCAGGUUUAAAAUUCCGAUUAAGCUCACAGAUAGCAGCACAUGCAAUUUUACCAAGCAGAGUGGUACCGCAAAGUUGCUCCGUAGGGCAUCUUUAAUAAUCUGGGACGAAGUUGCCAUGACAAAGCGUCAAACUGUUGAGACGCUUGAUAGGUCCCUACAGGACAUCAUGGGAUCUGCUUUGCCUUUUGGGGGAAAAGACGUGGUGUUUGGAGGGGAUUUUAGGCAGGUCCUUCCCGUUGUACCACGAGGUACAAGAGCUCAAAUCACUGACGCUACGCUACAGAGGUCUUAUUUAUGGGAGCAGAUUAGGAAGAUACGCCUCACGCGUAAUAUGAGGGCACAAACUGAUCAGUGGUUCUCCAGUUACCUCCUAAGAAUAGGUAAUGGAACAGAAGAGACGAUUGGUGCUGACUACGUGCGUCUUCCGGAUGACAUUGUUAUUCCUUGGACUUCCACCGAAGAACCAGUGAAUAAACUUAUUGAAGAUGUCUUCCCAUCGCUUCAUGAGAACGCUACAUCUGGAUCGUACAUGAGCGCCCGUGGGCCGUGGGCCGUGGGCCGUCGACUGCUCUUGUCUCUGCUACAAUUCAGAAAAACAAAUUGCCCUCAAAUUUUUAUUUUUAAUGAUUUUGAAGGGCAUUUUUGGUGAGGAAUGAUUAUCCUUAUUGAAUAAUUACUAAUAAUUACUAAUUUCUGUAUCAUUCAAAAUUAUAAUCAUGCAGGUCAUCGUGUGGUCUAUGGAUGUUAAAUUUCAUGGAAUAUUUCACGGGGGAUAUUUUAUCCGACAUUCCUGAACAGGUCAAUAUGACAGAUUUUAGAAACAAACUAGCCGUAAUUUUGGUGGAUUCACAUUUGAAUGAUGAUAAUGUAAGGAAUCGAGACUUGAAAGAUGAUGAAGAACAUACAUUUGAUCCUACUGAUUGUGUCAUUGUGGAUGGACCUCCUAAAAACAACAAAACAUCGAAACUAGCGUCGGAAAUUGGGUUCAUCUCGCAAUCAUUGCUUCUGUUACCAUCUGCCAAUCCAACAGACCAGGAAUUAAUAGAUGAACUUUGCCUAUACAUCAGCACAGUUGAUGAUAUCCCUUCACUAGAGACCGAAUGGGUUAAAAGUUCGAGUUCUUAUCCUAUUAGUCUUAAUUUAAGACAAAUAAGUAGCAUACUAAAAAUGAAUGAAAAUAUGGACGUUAGUUGCUUUAAUAUGGCUGUACGGAUACUGGCGUGGCACGAUAUCCAGCUUGCUAGGGAUGUCCCAGUCCACUACAUGGACUUGAACUUCUGUGUAAGUUACUAUAACUACAUACUAAAUCUAUUUAUAUGUGACUGAUUUGUGGCAUAUAAUAAUGUUUUUUAUUAUUAUUAUUUU